UCGGUUUAAAGGGUACCUAGACGGUAGAUCAAGCUUUCUAUAAAGGAAAAGGACUAAUUUACUAGAGUUACUUAUGAGGGGGUAUUAAAGUACUGCUGGUGUAGAGAUGAAAUUCUGUCAUACCUCUUUUCAAAAGAAAAACCAUGGCACAGGUAUAGGCGAAGGCAUCCCCUUAUGUGAUAACUGACGUUGAGGGACGAAGGCUUUGUGUAGCGAACAGGAUUAGAUACCCCAGUAGUCGAAGCAGAAAAUGAUGAAUGUCAUAGAUUAGAUAUAUAAGUUUAUUCUAUAAAUGAAAGUGUAAGCAUUCCACCUCAUGAGUAAUUUGGCAACAUUGGAACUGAAAUCAUUAGACCGUUUCUGAAACCAGUAGUGAAGUAUGUUGUUUAAUUUGAUGAUCCGCAAAAAACCUUACCACAAUUUGAAUAUUUAUAUUAUUUAUUGUUUUAUUAUUAAUUUUCUUGAACGUAAAGAUCACGUAAAAGAAAAAAGAAAUGCAUGAUAAUAGUAAGAAAAUUAAUAAAGAGGCAAUAAGAUAUAUUUACAAGCGUUGCACGGCUGUCUUCAGUUAAUGUCGCGAGACUUUGGUUAGUUCCAUUAAAUUAACGUAAACCCUUACUUUAUUUUUAGAUAGAGUAGUUCCCCGCUAUAU
rnacentral:rRNA from 1 species